rnacentral:rRNA from 1 species
UACGAGGGGGGCAAGCGUUGUUCGGAAUUAUUGGGCGUAAAGGGCGCGUAGGCGGUGCGGUAAGUCACCUGUGAAAACUCUGGGCUCAACUCAGAGCCUGCAGGCGAAACUGCCGUGCUUGAGUGUGGGAGAGGUGCGUGGAAUUCCCGGUGUAGCGGUGAAAUGCGCAGAUAUCAGGAAGAACACCCGUGGCUAAGGCGGUUCUCUAGUACGGUACUGACGCUGAGACGCGAAAGCGUGGGGAGCGAACAGG